rnacentral:lncRNA from 1 species
CGAGAUAGAGCAUCAGAAACCAUGUUCUCUCUUCCAGGUUUGUAAAAAAUCUCAUAGUUAAAUCCUUGUAAUUUUGUAGCCCAUUUUUGUUGUUCAUUAGUUUAAAAAACUUGUGUUAACAUGUGCUUCAAGCUUUGUUGAUCUGUAAAUAUGCGAAAAUAUCUGCCAAUUAGAUACUGACGCCAUUUCAUUACUGAUUCUGUAACAGCAUAGAGUUCUCGGACAUAUGCGGAGGCAGCUUGCAUCCUGGUUGAUAACUUCUUGCUAAAGAAAGCUAUUGGGUGUCCAUUUUGUGACAAUAUUGCCCCAAUUGCCAAGGCAGAAGUAUCAGUCUCAACAUCGAAAAUAACAUUAAAGUCUGGAAGCAUUAACACUGGGGUUUUUGUCAUUAUUGCUUUCAUUUGUGUAAAGGCUUCAAGUGCCAUUGUUGACCAUGUACACUUUGUAUGCUUUAAUAAAUCUGUGAGUGGAGCGGCGUGAGCAGUGUAGUUUCUAAUGAAACGACG